GUUUAAUUUAAUUUCUUAAAUAAUAAGUCAAGUUUAAAAGGUUGAUUCUUGAGGCUGCGUCGAAUACCUUACCAAGCGGUUCGGCAACGGCGCAAAAAUACAUUAUGGUUCACAAAGGUUGUUAAACUACUGGCCAGGUUCUCCCGAAGGAGAUCAACCAACCAAUAGUUAUCAUUUAGUAAUGAUCCAACCGCAGGUUCACCUACGGUUA
rnacentral:misc_RNA from 1 species